UUUCCGUUUCUUUCGAGUUGCGUGACAGUUUAUUUUGCAUUAUUAUAAUUCUUUAGUAUAUUUCAAAGAUUUUAAUAUGGCAUCUACAGCAUAUUCUACUCCAGAGAGUCGUUGUGUAAAUUGUGCUGUACGAUUUCAACAUGUGCAAAAAUGUGUCUGAGAUAGCUGGAGACUUCGCCAACUGACCCAUCCAUGGAUUUUUCGUGAGUUAAACCUACUAGACUCAGUGUGUGGAAAAUGCUUAUUGAUAUUACAAGAUAGUAUUCAAACUGGUCAAUCAACAAGAACAUUUGGGUACAGGAAUAUGUGUAUUCCAUGUAGGGCUUCAAUAUUAAGAGCAUAUCAAACUCAUACUGUACCUAUAGACUCUGCAGAAAGGAGUAUUAUUUUGCAGUGGAUACCCUCACACCAGGUGGAAUAUUUACAGCAAGUCUGUAUGGCUUGCUGGCUGAAAGCAACAAGAGUGGUGCAUCGGCUCAGCAACCAGAGUGGUGCAUCGACUCAGGCAACAUGAUAGUACCAGAGACAUAGAAGUUCAAACAAUGAGUGCUGACGUUGUGAAUACUACUAUCUCACAACCACCACCUAUGCCUGAACUUGUUAUGCCUAUGCCUAUUUCCAGAGUAGCACCAACAAUUAAUAUGUUUCAGCAACCAGAGUGGUGCAUUGGCUCAGGCAACAUGAUAGUACCAGAGACAUAGAAGUUCAAACAAUGAGUGCUGAAGUUGUGAAUACUACUAUCUCACAACCACCACCUAUGCCUGAACUUGUUAUGCCUAUGCCUAUUUCCAGAGUAGCACCAACAAUUAAUGUCUAAUUACAAGCAUGCUGCUUCAACUUCCCGUCACUGUAUUUUUAGAUUAUGUGAAAAUGUUUCUCGACUCUUAGUACCUGUAAUACUAAAAGAAAGAUUGAUUACUCAUUUUAUGCGCCCGGUUGUGAAUAAAAAAAUAUUAAGAUAAUUCUCUGAAAACUUUUUCUAUUUGCAAUUAACCUCAUGUGUUUAGGUUGGACCACCCUUUAUAUAUACAAUAAGUUUUUCUUCCUAUGACAAGUGUACAAGACCUUACCUAGUAUUUAUAUGAAAUACUUAUUUUAAGACAUGAAUGAAAUUAUAAUGAUGGUUGUUAAGUAUUUUUUGGCAAGCUUUCUGGUUUAGUGGUUAUGGUGCCCUGACUAUUAUUAUGAAGUAUUCGGGUGUACACACACCUGGGACUAUUAAUUCUUGUGUGAUGAACAUUUUUGUUUGUUAAGAUUGCCAUUGCGAUUUCCACUAUUCAAACAGUACAAAUCGCAUAAAAAACCAAGUAGGUUCCUAAAAGACAAAUGCCUUUAUUAUAAGCUUUAUAUUAAAAAAAAAACAUACUUAAUGAUUUUUAGGUUAUUUUGACGUUCACUUUCUUGUCAUUUUUCUCAGUAUUCCAGUUAGAUCACUUAAAAUUAAAUAUACCGUUGUAAUCUAGAGAUUAUAAGGAAUAAAUCAAUAUAUGUUUCAAUAAUAUACACCGCAUUUCGUGGUGGGCCCAUUCGUCGAAAACAAAAAAAAUGUCUCCUUUAAUAAUUCAAUUAAAAUUUUAUUAUCAUCAUUGCAAUAAUUAUAAUAGUAGUAAUUACAAUUUUUCUGUUUAAAAAGCAUGCGAAACUUUUAGUUAUUUAUAAAAAAUUAUAUUUAUAUCUUAUCUCACUGAGAAUAAUAAUUUUAUAUUGAGUUAGUAGCUUAAACCACUAUGAAUAAGAAAAAUAAUAAAGUGUUGAGUCCAGGUGUUCCUAAUUUGUUUUUGUGAAAGUUUAAAAAUGAAGGUUUUUAAAAUAAAAUAUCAUUGGUUUU